GCCUCGGUAGCGCAGUUGGCAGCGUAUCAGUCUCAUAAUCUGAGGGUCGUGAGUUCGAGUCUCACCCGGGGCA